GGUUCCGUAGUGUAGUAGUUAUCACAUCUGCCUGACAUGCAGAAGUACCUGGGUUCGAUUCCCAGUCGAACCA